AAAAAAAUAAAUAUAUAUUUGUUGUUACAUGUCUUUGUAAAACGACAUUUCCCUAAAAUGUCUUCAAUCCUGAAGAAAAUGAUAUUUUUGAAGGUUUACAGUAUUUUGUAUAUUUUUUUAAGCUACUUGGGUUGGAGGUGCAUUUAUCAGUGGUGUUGCAGAGUCGCAGAUGUCAUCCAGAUAUCACUGGUGCUUUUUAGCUUGGUUGCAUUUUAGAGGAUGGUGUUUACAUUCAGCGCUCUCCUAUCAAGACCAUUUGCAUGCUGUCUGCUCUGGUCUCCAUUCUGAUGUUUUCAUAUGUGGCCUCACUCCUGUUUAACAAGAGGAUCCUUCCUGAGAGGUGGGACGUGUUCAAGGUGAAAUCCCAGGAAGCACCAACACCAGCUGAUGGCCCCAGAGAGGGCGAUAGUAAUGAGACUGAUGAAAAUGAUAAAUUUGCCUCUGACCCAAUGCUGGAUACAAAAUGUUAAGUUUUUUUUUCACAUGUCUUUGUUGAUAUAAUAUUUGGGUUACAGAGACAGGCUUGUCAUCAUUGGUUAUUGG